rnacentral:rRNA from 1 species
GAUGAACGCUGGCGGCGUGCUUAACACAUGCAAGUCGAACGGACUCAUAUUGAAACCUAGUGAUUUAUGAGUUAGUGGCGGACGGGUGAGUAACGCGUGGAUAACCUGCCGUAUACCGGGGGAUAACACUUAGAAAUAGGUGCUAAUACCGCAUAAGCGCACGGUUCCGCAUGGGGCAGUGUGAAAAACUUCGGUGGUAUACGAUGGAUCCGCGUCUGAUUAGCUAGUUGGCGGGGUAACAGCCCACCAAGGCAGCGAUCAGUAGCCGGCCUGAGAGGGUGGACGGCCACAUUGGGACUGAGACACGGCCCAA